CUGUACUUGACUUUGGAAUCUUGUAAGGACACGCAUGAUCCUUCACAUUACAGAAGGGAAAUGAAGUUUCAGAGCUGGAGCGACUUUGUCUCAUAAAAAGCAGAGUAGAGGCUGGCAUCUCAGUCUUCCUUCCACAAGCUGAACACCUGUGGUGCAAUAGAUUGGUAAAGUUGAGAGAGCACCAUUCAAUUUUGAAUUCAUUUGUGUGGAUCUAGAUCCCCAAUUUUCUGUCCUCGGCUCUGCUAGAAAGGUUUGAAACUUUUUGGUUGGAAGAUUAUACAAGGCAACACCCGGAUAUGGAAAAACAGAUUUAAUCUUGGUCUUAUUCCUUGAGAAAUCUACAAAGAGGGAAUGAAGAAGUCCUUUAUGAAGCAAGACUGCAUUUAAGACUGUGGAGGAGUGAAGUUGUCUAGUACUGUUAUAUCCUUCUCAUUUCAACAUUGUGAAACAGUACUCCUCAGGCCACAGGAAAAAUGGACAAGAAGUUUCUGUGAGAUUUCUGGAUGCUUACUUGUCUUUUCAAUAUGGCUUUUUUUUUUGUUUUUUUGUUUUUUUUUUUCCUCACAAGCUACCAUUCAGCCGGGCUUUGAAAACAGUCUGUAAGGCCAAAGAAAGAAGAAAGAACAGUACGAAAGAAAAAGAAAGCUGUGUAGCCAGGCCAGAGAAAGAGAAAGACUUAUUUUCUCCUGCAGCUGUUUAACCCCAGUCCGCCCUAGGAGACCACCAGGAGGGAAGAGACUAAAGUUACUUUGGCACACUGGAACCCCAUCUGCCCAUCUCCUUCAAAGUCUGGGAGACCUAUGAGUAUGAAGAGAAAACCACUUUCUGUCAAGGCAUGUUUUACAAAAUUUGAAUUUGUUGCCAACCAUCUAUUUGGCCACAUCAGGUAAAAUUGCUUGCUAUUUUUCAUUUGAAAUGUCGCUGAUCCUUUUAAAGCUGCCUGGGUAUUUUAAAGCACAUUUGGGAAGAUAAUUUUCUAAAUGGUGAAGUCAAAAGGUGGCAGCCAGAUCUUUUCAGGAGUGCCCCUGGAUUUCAUCUGGAGAGGUAGAAAUUUGCAUUUGGCUGCUGAUUUACUCAAGACUCUGCUAAGGAAAGAGCAUUUUGCAAUUAUUUUGUGCUGGGAAUGAAAGUAAACGAAGAGACUAGGAAUGGAUGCCCACUUUAAUCCUGUGGAAGGAGAACUUCAAAUUCCUCAUUUUGUCCUUUAUUUCUUAUUAUUGUCCUGCCUUAGAAAAGUUUCCUUGGAUUAAACUGUGUGGAAAAUCUUAGGCAAUUAUUAUAGGCUGAAUUUUGUCCCCUCAAAAUUCAUAUGUAGUAGUCCUAAACCCCAAGAGAAGGUGACUUUAUUUGGAACUCAGUUUAUUGCAAA
ensembl:lincRNA